UUAGCGCCGCAGUCUCCUCAUGGAGAAAAGAACCCAGCAGCCACAACUCCUCCCAUUUUUCUCCAUUAAACAACUCCAAUUGGCAUAAAAUGACGAUCAAAACCCAUCUAAUCAUCCAUCACUUUCAGCCACAAAAACACCUCAAAACAGCCCCCAAAACCUACCUCCAAAGCACCCCCAUUUCAGCUCCAAAACCUCACGUUUUGCACAUAAAACAGCCCUCAAAACAACCUGAACUAGCAGCUGAAAAAUGCUGCUCAACUCUACGCCAAUCACAGGCAAAAACAUUUCCAAACGUGCUCAAAUCCACUCCCAAAAAACGACCUCAAAACAGCUCCAAAAACGAGCUGAAAAUCCGCCACCAUCACCCAUGAAAACCACCCCAAAACUGCUUUUGAAUCUCCAUUAAAAUAGCUUCAAAGUCCUGCCAUGAAAAACAGCCAAAAUUGGCCCGAAACAGCCCCAAAAUCACUCAAAAACGCAGGCGAAACCACCCCUGAAGCACCAGCUUUCACCACCAAAAUACACUACAAGAAAAAGGCUCAUUAGUGACCAGCAUUUAGCAGCGGGACUGAAAUCUGGUCGCUAAAAAUAUACUUAUAGCGACUAGUUUUAUUUAUGGUACCUAAUUCUAAAUUAAAUAACGACGCGACUGAAUCUCGUCCCUAUAAUUAUAAAAUUCUCGUCCCUAUAUGCAGAAUAGAGCGGGAGUGCGAGACUUGAGGUGCCGCCCAAAAUUUCUUCUAAAAUUUUAAGAUUUUUAUAAUUAUAAAGAGAUAGAAACCUAGAAAAAGAAAUAAAAAAAUAGAAACACUUAAAAACAUUCUCAAAGUCGUCAUUUAGGAACUAGAGUUUACUCUCAAUCUCUCAACGUUUCUCUCAAAAUCCCCAAAUCUUUAUCACUUUGACAACUAGUUCUGGUGUUUCAUCAAAAUCUAUUCUUGAUUUCAUUGUUCAAAGUGACGAUUUCCAUCAUCAGUUGUUCACGACUAUUCUACAAAUUAUUCAAUUUUGUCGAGUUAUUUUGGGUAAUGUUUUCCAACACCAACUGAAGUUGGAUCGGUGCGAUUGAGUUGGCAUUUUGUGAUUCAACAAGUUGUUUUUAUGGCGAGGCCGUCUCUCUGAGCCAUUUUGAGAAGAAGAGCUCACGUGUUAUUCACUUCAGCUUCCGCAAUGAGAUGGGAAUGAAUUGUUUCAUUGUGGUCCAAGGUGCUUUUAGGAGUAUUAGCUUGAAAUUCAUUUGAUUAUCUUUACGACUUUCUUAAGAGAUGAAGUGUUCCAAUCAUCGGUUAGUGUUCCUUUCUUCCACUCACUAUUUUAGACUUGCUGGGUUUUGCUAUUAAUUCUUAUGGGUUUUAUUUCAUUUCAUUUAUAGGCGCAGUGAGUGAUUUUUGGUAUUUAUUUUCAUUGUUGGUCUUCAUUUUGUUGAUGGAUACAUUUUAUGCACAUUCUUGUUGAAAUUGGGUGUUUAUUUUAUAGUGCGCUUCUUAAUAUUAUUAUACCGAGGUCAGAUAUUGCUACUAACCACUCCUUUACGUACUAAAAGGAAGCUUUAUUCAAUAGGAUUAUUGUACUUUGUUACCAAUUGAUAUUAGGUGAGGUGCUUAACUGAGCUUGCUAGUCUACGGUGAUUAUCAAGUUCAUGUAUCUUCUUUUAAAUAUGAGUGAUAGUUAUGUUUGCUAAAAGAAAUUAAACUUGUGAAUUUAUUAGACAAUGACUAUUUCAAGUGGUGGAAAAAUUAUUUGCUGCUAGCAGUGCUGUAGUAGAUGGAUUGAAGUUAUAGAAAAAAAGUAAAGAUUCAUCUGCACAAAGCCUUUGUGAAAGUGAUAGAUUGAAAUGAGUAAUUUUAAAUAUGUUGUUGUAUGGUUCUAAGACAUAUUUUAAAUAAAAUAUUGAAACGUUAGCGAAAUGUGGUAUUAAAAUUGAACACCUUGAAAGCGAUGAGACGUGUUUAUGGUUUCUCCAUAAGUAGGUUACUUGAAUAAGUGCAUCGGUAUUGUACUUGUGGUUGUAUAAGAGUUUAUGAAGAUAUUUGAUCUUGGUGCAAUGGUUGUUAAGGUUAUCUUUGAUGAAGGGGGUGGUUCAUUUGUCAGGGGUGUUGCACUGUUGAAAUGAUAGACUUUCUUCUUAUAAUCUGGAUCAAUUUUUAAUUUUUUCUUAUUCUCUUUUUCCAAGUUUACUGAUUUCGUUACUGGUUCUCAAUUUGUCUUUGCUACUCAUGCAAAUACAAUUUAUUUUUGGACUGAAACUCAACCUUACACUCUAUAUCAUUUCAUAACCAUUUAGUUAAAACCUUAGUCUUCUAUUCUCUGCAUCUCUGUGUCAUAUGUGACUCUGAAGUUCGCAUGUAUAUUCAUGAUAUAAUCUUAUAACAGUUGGGAUGCAUUUCUUAGGUUCUCAAAUAUGAUUUUAUUUUUGUUGUAACACUGCAACUUUUCAUAUAGUAAAUCUCAUACUCUCAUCUGAUUAUGUACUCUUUUUACUUUUAUGAACAAUUUAUACCCUCUGACAUGGGAUUAUCAACCAAUAGAGUAUUCCUGACAAGGUGUGCACCCAAAGCCACUUUCUCUUUAUCUCUCACUUUUGUGUUUAGCAGCAAAAUCGAAGCUCCGUGUGUGAAAGCCGUAUGAGGAAAAAGGAGUAAGUUCGAUAGUUGGAAACAAUGCCAUUUGAAGUUGGCACAAUUUGAGCUGAAACUUGAGAGAGUUAGACAGCAGGUCUUGAAGACAUCAAUUUACAAGUGAAGAUGUAUAUUUUGGAGACUUCAAGUUGACAACAUAAUUAUCAUUUGCCCAGAACUAUAGACAACAAUUCAUUUUAUUUGCAAGUGAUAUUAAUUUAUUUUCUUUCCGAGGGGUGUCUAAAUAAUACAGUACAAAUGGAAUGUUAAUCCUU